rnacentral:rRNA from 1 species
AUACGGAGGGUGCAAGCGUUAAUCGGAAUUACUGGGCGUAAAGCGCGCGUAGGCGGCUCAGUCAGUCGGAUGUGAAAGCCCCGGGCUCAACCUGGGAAUUGCAUUCGAUACUGCUGAGCUAGAGUAUGAAAGAGGGAAGUGGAAUUCCGGGUGUAGCGGUGAAAUGCGUAGAUAUCCGGAGGAACACCAGUGGCGAAGGCGACUUCCUGGGCCAAUACUGACGCUGAGGUGCGAAAGCGUGGGGAGCAAACAGAAUUAGAAACCCCGGUAGUCC